GACGAACGCUAGCGGCGUGCCUAAGGUAUGCAAGUCGAACGGGGGCUUCGGCCCUAGUGGCGAACGGUCGAGUAACACGUAGACAACCUGCCUUCCAGUGGGGGACAACUCCGGGAAACUGGGGCUAAUACCGCAUGGGGCGGUUCAGGGAAUCCUGGACAUGCUAAAGCUCGCAAGGGCGCUGGGAGAUGGGUCUGCGGCCUAUCAGCUAGCUGGUGAGGUAACGGCUCACCAGGGCGACGACGGGUAGCGGGUCUGAGAGGAUGAUCCGCCGGACGGGGACUGAGACACGGCCCCGACUCCUUCGGGAGGCAGCAAUGAGGAAUAUUGCGCAAUGGGCGAAAGCCUGACGCAGCGACGCCGCGUGGGUGAGGAAGUCCUCGGA
rnacentral:rRNA from 1 species